ACGGGUGAGUAAUGCCUAGGAAUCUGCCUGGUAGUGGGGGACAACGUUUCGAAAGGAACGCUAAUACCGCAUACGUCCUACGGGAGAAAGCAGGGGACCUUCGGGCCUUGCGCUAUCAGAUGAGCCUAGGUCGGAUUAGCUAGUUGGUGAGGUAAUGGCUCACCAAGGCGACGAUCCGUAACUGGUCUGAGAGGAUGAUCAGUCACACUGGAACUGAGACACGGUCCAGACUCCUACGGGAGGCAGCAGUGGGGAAUAUUGGACAAUGGGCGAAAGCCUGAUCCAGCCAUGCCGCGUGUGUGAAGAAGGUCUUCGGAUUGUAAAGCACUUUAAGUUGGGAGGAAGGGCAGUAACUUAAUACGUUGCUGUUUUGACGUUACCGACAGAAUAAGCACCGGCUAACUCUGUGCCAGCAGCCGCGGUAAUACAGAGGGUGCAAGCGUUAAUCGGAAUUACUGGGCGUAAAGCGCGCGUAGGUGGUUUGUUAAGUUGGAUGUGAAAUCCCCGGGCUCAACCUGGGAACUGCAUUCAAAACUGACAAGCUAGAGUAUGGUAGAGGGUGGUGGAAUUUCCUGUGUAGCGGUG
rnacentral:rRNA from 1 species